ACGCUCGACACCUACGGGGAGGCAGCAGGUGGGGGAUAUUGCACAAGUGGGGGGAAACCCUGAUGCAGCAACGCCGCGUGAAGGAAGAAGGUCUUCGGAUUGUAAACUUCUGUCCUCAGGGAAGAUAAUGACGGUACCUGAGGAGGAAGCUCCGGCUAACUACGUGCCAGCAGCUGGACGGUAAUCUGAGGCGGGCGUGGACGAAGGC
rnacentral:rRNA from 1 species